rnacentral:rRNA from 1 species
CCUACGGGAGGCAGCAGUGAGGAAUAUUGGUCAAUGGGCGUAAGUCUGAACCAGCCACGCCGCGUGAGGGAUGAAGGUUCUCUGGAUCGUAAACCUCUUUUAUAAGGGAGUAAAGUGUGGGACGUGUCCUAUUUUGUAUGUCCAUUAUGAAUCAGGCUCGGCUAAAUCCGUGCCAGGAGCCGCGGUAAUACGGAGGAACCGAGCGUUAUCCGGAUUUAUUGGGUUUAACGGGUGCGUAGGCGGCCUUGUAAGUCAGCGGUGAAAGUCUGUGGCUCUACCAUAGAAUUGCCGUUGAAACUGGGGGGCUGGAGUAUGUUUGAGGCAGGUGGAAUGCGUGGUGUAGCGGUGAAAUGCUUAGAUAUCACGCAGAACCCCGAUGGCGAAGGCAGCCUGCCAAGCCAUGACUGACGCUGAUGCACGAAAGCGUGGGGAUCAAACAGGAUUAGAUACCCGGGUAGUC